AACGCACAUUGCGCCCCUUGGUAUUCCUCGGGGCAUGCCUAUUCGAGCGUCGUUUGGUCUCUCAAGCUCAAGCUUGGUGUUGGGGCACGCCCCGCCUUCGCGGCGGCGGCCCUUGAAAUCAUCGGCGGUGCCGGUGCGGCCUGGAAGCGCAGCAGAGAUGCGAAUCCGUGGGCUCACUUCGACACCCGCCGGACUAAACGUUUUACUUUUUCACGAAAAGACCUCGAAUUAGGUAGGGAUACCCGCUGAACUUAA
rnacentral:misc_RNA from 1 species